rnacentral:lncRNA from 9 species
CCGCGCUCUUGGCCACAACCGCAGCGUUGGAACCGCGCGAGAGGCAAUGAGGGGCACAACCGAGGAAGCAGCUCCCACCCGGUUACCCGGGCUGGGAGGCCUUGAGCUGAGGGUGCCUCUCGCGGGAUCACACCCCUCUGGCCCUGUGCUCAGGGCAUGACGAAUGGUUUACUGGUAACCAUAGUUGAGUCCAGAAGAUCCAUGCUCAUCCUACGCAUUUCAGCACCAUUCAGGAGGCUAGGUGAUUUACCAAACUUCACCUGGGAGAAUCUUCCAUCAUUUCAAUUCAUCAUCUCAGGAUCUGUCACCAUGGGAGCCCAGAAGAAACCCAUACGGUAUAAGCUUAUUUCUGCCAUUGUUAUGAACAUCCUGAGUGCCUGCUUUUCUGCAAUUGGAGCACUUAUAUUACUGAUUGCAUGUUUCACUUAUAGCUCAGAAAAGAAUGAAUAUGUUUGGUCACAUUUAGCUGGUAGUAUGAUUUUACAAUAUUUACUCUUCAGUGCCAUCACAGAACUGAUCACUGUCUCCAUAACUCUCUCCUGGAUUGUGAAAGCAUUAUACCAUCCAGAAACCAGUGAAGAGAGUUACUCAUCUUCGGAACCCCCUGUCUCUUCGUAAUUUGCAAA